ACGAAACAAUCGGGAGCAUGCAAGUGCAGCAGCAGUAGUAAUAACAACGACAAUGUACAAGAAGAAUAUUCAUUGUAUAAGUAUUAGUAGGCACAAAGUAUAUUAUGUUAUGGUGCACGAGCGCACACGGAACCGGCGCGUAGUAAAAGAAGCGGCGUUUUAUUCAUUAUAAUUUUUCCACGACGUGACCUGCGAGCGAAGCGCACUCGCGUGGGGUGUGCAGCCGAUGGAAAUGCUCCGACGGACAUCGCAAGCCACGUGUGGGAAAUGUGAUUUGUCGCGUGCGUACGCGUCGGGAAGUGGACGGAAAAUCUUGUAACGAGCCAAGGGAUUGUCACGCGGGACAGUAGCGACAAAGAAUUUUCAUCAUAUAUAUUAAUAAAACACUCGUAAUGAAAAAACAUUUUUUCCUUAUACAGACUAGAGAAUGGAUCAUGUGAUAACGACACGACAAAUUCACUUAUAAACAAUAUUUAAGUCGAUAGACGACGAAUAAAAUGAGAGAAAAAAACUACGUACUGUUGGCCGAGCACAAGUUUCACGCUAUUAGGUGAUGUCUUACGUAUUCGCAAGCGCACAAUUGAUGACGACGACGAACCAGGAGCGGAUUAAAAGUAUUCAACGAAUUAUCCUUCUUCGAAGUAAAUAUUAUUCCUGCUACGGCGUCAACGACGUUAUAUUAGAUUUAACUGAAUAACACGCGACGACGAUCACACACUUCUUCACAAGACAAUAGUAAUAAUAAUUAUUUUAAAUAUCGAGCACUUCAAACAAAAAUAUUAUUUGGAAACGCGAUCGAGUUAAUACUUCAUUAAUACUAAUUAGUAGAACAUAUUAUAUUUAUUACUACGACGA